rnacentral:sRNA from 2 species
UCUUUUUAUAAAAAACAAUGGCUACAAAGCUAAGCUACAAAGAAGAAGGAAGGACAGGUGUGGUGGUAGUGGAAGGAGUUAUAACAAGCUUGGAACAAUCGAUGAGACCGACCUCUUUUGCCUAGACCUGCUCUAUUGCCUACGCUCGGUUGGUGCGUGUUUCUCUUAGAUCCCGCGGGUAUUGAGCAGGUAGCCAUUAGUCUUGAGCAUUAAAACAAUGAUUGGAAGUUCAUGACAGAAUUAAGCUUUGUACUGUACAUACAAUCUGUGUUGCUAAAUUCCUAAAACCACACCCUCUCUCAGCAGGGAUUUCAUCUAGGACAGACAAUUUGUCUUGAGAAGUACUCGUUCCAACAUCGUCCUGCUAGGAAUCUCAUGGCUCAAACAAAUAUGUCAAAUAUUGAAAGUUUCCUAGUGAAAGCAAAGGAACGCAAUGAGAAACAAAGAAAGUAGUUGGAUUUGUUUGCCACGGGCGCCUUGAUGGGACGUAGGCCACUGAUAAAAGAAAUUUAGUAUUAUGUUUGUUUCCACUCUCGCGGUAGGCGACCCGAGCAUAGGGUUUGACAAUCAUCCUUCAUUUAUCACCUCUAGCUAGAUAGCUCAGUACCUGGCUCGAUCUUGCUCAUGCGCCAUGGUUUUAUCAUUGAGUGGCUGGAACAACAUGGCUUUUUCAAUCCUGCGGUUGACGUGCAAGAUUUGCAUGGGAUCCAUAUUCCUCGUAUUAACACCGAAAUCAACUGCACUGCCGUCUGGCUUCUUUUCUUCAAAUGGCCACCA